CUAAAAUCUCCUUUAAAGGGUACAUAACCUAUUUUGUUGAGUUGAAAACAAUUGUUUUUGUAUUGUAGCGUGACUACGCUUUAAAAUAAUACUCUCGGCACAGUAUAGGAGGAAUCAGUAAGCUGAGUCAUAUAAUUCCCAUAUCCGCUAAUUCCACACGCAACGUAUUUUCAGUAAAAGCAAAAAACUGUAUCUAUUAUUUCCGAGUACCUGUCUAAAUGAAUUGUAAUUAUUCUAUUAGGGAAUAUAAUUCUAAUUUGCCGAUAACCUUGAUUUACGUAAUUUGGUUAAUAAAACAAAAGAUAAAAAUUGAUUUAAAUAUCAAAAAGUGGAUGUAGCAGGUUUUGAAACAAACCAGUGGAGUUAGCGAAUUUUGGAUAUAACUAUAGGUGGAUCUAGCGACUUUUGUUACGAAUUAUUCUUUUGGUCAUAUACAGGAUGUCCAAAUGGAAAAGUCGAUUACUGAGGCUAAUAUUUUCAUUUUAAUAACAAAAUUAAGACAUACAAAAA
rnacentral:lncRNA from 1 species